GUGCCCCUUCUGCCAAUCCAGGAACAGAAGCAGAAACAGAAGGUCAGAGCGGCAAGGGGCCUCCUCUGAGGUCACCGUGUCCAAACCCUCAUUUCGCAGCAGAGCACAGUAGUUAAACACAUGGAUACUGGCGCCCGGGAUCCUGUCUCCCCCGCUUCUUUACUUCGUGACCUUAAGUAAGUCACUUAAAUUCCACGGACUUCAGUUUCCUCAUCUGUAAAGUGGGGAUUAUACCUCAUGGAUUAGUGUAGGGAUUAAAAGAGUUAAAGUUUGGAACGUAUUUAGAAUUAUGCCUGGCCUAUAAUGAGUGCUAUAUAUAUUGUAUAUUUUAAUAAAAUCGGAGUCACUCUCCUGACUGGCUGGAUAGUAAAGGUGGAAUGACUGUUCUUAUCAUGGUUCUUGACUGGCCCCCAGGGAAGGGAACCCUCCUGGGUUUGGGACCUGGCCCAGUCCGAGCUGCGGGUCGUCCAGCCUCACCCCAGAGCCCCCACCCCCUCUCCCGACUGGAGAGGUAGGACUUCCCCCUCCACCUCAUGCCCAGGUCUGAGACAGCCCUCUCCCCGGGAAUCGGAGGGAACUUGGGUUACUGAUGAGUCAGGAGCCCACACAUUCCUCCUGAGACUUGGUUCUGACUUUUCACCUGACCUGCCUCCUGUGUCCCACUGAUCCAGCAACUCUAACCAAUUUGUUCUGAACCCUUCCCUCCUCAGACCUUUCUCAUGAUGCUUCCUCUUCCAGAAACAUCCAGCCAGAUUGCCUCCUCAACUCUCCCAGCCUACCCACCUUUGCCCUGAAAGUCUAGUUGGCCUCCUCCCCAAUACCCAGUCGUAGCUACCCACACACUUGUCUUCCCUCACAAGCUUCCUCUUCUCGCGCGCCCAAGCUCUCACUCUCUCUCUCUCCCCUAGUCAACUGUUUGACCUUGGAGUUCUACAUACUUGGGCUCUGAACCAAAUCCUCCAGGGGCGCCUGGGUGGCUCAGUCAGUUGAGCAUCCGACUCUUGGUUUCAGCUCAGGUCAUGAUCUCACGGUUCGUGAGUUUGAGCCCCGCGUCAGGCUCCACGAUAAGAUUGAGAAGCUUGCUUGGAGAUUCUCUCUCUCCCUCUUACUCUCUGGCCCUCCCCCACUCACUCUCUCUAUCAAACAAACGAAAACUUUAAAACCAACUUCUCCGUCUAUAUCUAUAUCUAUAUAUAUGCAAUCCUAGCUAACGGGCUUCAGUUUCCUCAUCCGUACAGCAGGAAUAAUACCCACUUUAGAGGGCUUUGUAAGGCUUCUAUUGGAUAACAUGUGGGAAACGCUUGGCCUAGUGCCUGCCAUGUGGCAGGUGCUUAGUAAAUGGUAACUCUGGUUGUCAUUCAUGUUUUAUGGCUGAACCUGUUUGCUUCCCCCAGCAGCGGGGUAUGUCUCAAGCCUGGGGGCUGGAAAUCAUCAUUCACCCCAGGGUUCCCUGGAGCAGCUGCCCAGUGCCUGGCACCGAGGCGGUGGCCAGUACGCAUCUAAGGACUCGACUUAAGUUCUGUCUUCUGGUGCUCAGCAUGUGCCCAGCAAGUGGGUGGCCCUCUGCAGUUGGAGAAGCAGCAGCACCUAAACGCGUUGGGGAAAGUGCUCCUGGGGGACCCCUACCCACCCAGUCUGUCCCCCCUGGGUAGCACCAGCCGCUGUCUUCUGCUUCCACGGGGAGGUCUUUGCCUAUGGAGCCGCUGAGCUAAUUAAGAAUGACAAAGCACUGUGUAAUUGCCAGCAAUUGAAACCGUCAUCAUUCGUUUCUGCUGGGAGCACCCCUGGCCGUUCCGUCAUUCCACCAAGUGUGUGAUGGGACAGAGCCCGUCGUGUGGGAGGCCCGGACUCCGCUCGCCCUUUCUCCUGGAGAAGAUUCUGGUUGUAACCGCUCAGCCAGCCUCUCCCCUUCCUGGCUCUCUUACUUACGGGAAACUAUGUAAACGGAGGACUUGCGUGAUUGCCACAAGUGAAAGCGAAGCAGUCGUCCCGCUGUCUCCUGCUUGUCCUCAUGCACCUGUCUGGUGUGAGGACCUCAGAGAGGCCCCGAGAGUCUCCCAGUCGUUGCCCAGCCCCACCUCCUGCCCGCGGACGUGCCACCACCAUAGGAGGGACACCGGGUGUACCAUGGGGCACCUGGGUUUUGGGUCCAGCUCUGCCACCAUCUCACUUGAAACUACCCUUCCUGGCCCCCUUGCAGUCAGGAGAGGCAGACCUGGCCAUCGAAAUGGGUAGAAGUGAUAUGCAUAAAACUUGUGAGAACCUGUGCUCGCUCUCUCUCUCUCUCCCCCCGUCCUGGGGUGAACUUGGACAUGAGGCAUCCAUGAUGGAAGGAAGCUGCGUUCCUUCCAGGGGGAGCAGAACCGCCCCCACUCCACCACCACAGGCAGCGGUAAACUUAGAUUGUGUUUGUUGAAUGACUGCGGCUACGGGGUCAUGUUCGUCGUAGCAGCUGGCGGUGCUUCCCCUGAUACAGCCUGGAGGAAGCGGCACCAGAGCAGCCUCUGAAAAGGCGAGUAAGGUUUGGCGACGUGGACAGGCGGGAAGGGACGUUCCAGAGGGAAGGGACGGGGGCAGCAAAGGGGUGGGAGCCGGAAUAGGACGAUGUGUUUGCACCCUGCAGAGAAAGUCAGCAUGAUCGGUACUGAGGGCUGCCCUGGGCUCCAACCAGUGGUGUGUUGAAUCCAGCCCAUCCCGGCUCCGGGCAGCCGAUGGUUAGCAUCGUUUCCCAACUCGGUGCUCAGUGACAGCCAUCACUGCGGUAGCAUGACAUCGGCCAUGGUGGGAGUAUUUACGCCAUGGCAACCGGCAAACCCUCUAAGCCAGGGCUCUUUCCUCCUAUUGUUAUCCAGUUAUCAGCAUGCUACUGCUUACAGCUCACGAGCAAGUGGACCCUGCCCAUCUGAGAGGCCGUGCAAGGACCAAAGACCCUGCCCCCUCUGAGCCCUUUAAGCCUCACGUUCCUCAUCCGCAGAAUGGGGCGCAUCACCCUGCCUGCCUCCUCUGCCAGGCUGACCGCGGGCAACAGGAAAUGAGAUCGUGCACGUGGAGCCCUGCCUGCGUCCCCUCAGGAUCAUCGUUCCCGUGCACAGGACAGCCUCUGAGGGCUUUCGCUGGCCAGAGGGGCUGCUCACCCACACCGGCAGGCUGGGGGAGUGCUGGGACCUUGAUGUCUGCGGGAGCAGACCUCGGCCAAGGGCAGGUGGGAGCUGAGGGGGUGGGGGUGGGGAAAUAGCCCAGCCUUCUCCCCUCUUUCUUGGGACAGAUGUGAGGCCCAUUCCACCCCAUCUCCUGGAAGUCUCCAGAGGGGCGGAGCCUCAGCUGUCCCCGCUGCGGCUCGUUCACCAGCGCGUCCUGACUCUGGGAUUCUUCCUUCCCUGCCUGUUUCCCCCUUUCCCUACCGGCGCAUCCCGGGAUUGUUGCAGGAUGCUUUUUUAACCUCGAUGCCCAGGAUUCGUUGUCUCGCCGCAAAGAAUGAAAGGGGGGGGGCACCGAAUAAAAUGAGCAGCCGGCAAAAGUUUAUUAGAGUAUAAGGUCAGAAAGCAAGAAUAGUAGGAGAGCUCUCUUUCCAGAGAAGGGAGUGAAUGCCCGCGACUACAGGCAAGGGUCCUUGUUUUAUAAGGUUUUGGUCGCCGCCCCCCUUCCGCCCCCACUCAUUUCUUCUCUGGUUUUACCCUUAUCGGCGUGAUAACUCUAAAUGCCUAGUCAUUCCUUUUUGAUUGGCUGGUUUCCAUCGUAUGAGGGGUGGUCUAGGGCCACACCAUUCCUUGUGGGUCAUACAUUUUAUGGUCGACUGCUUAUUUUUAGUCAGGUCUUUGGUCAAAUUCCUGAGGGGAACCUGAGGGGGAGCAGGCGGUGUCUGUAACAUUCUUAAGAGGAACCUUAUGCCCCCGGGAGACUGCUGUGGUCAGAGACUCCCAGCCUUGUUUCAAAAUAUGUGUUUUUCCCCACCCAGGGAUCUCACGGCCUAACCUUUCCCUCUCUGCCUGUUUUACCCUCUCUUUCCCUAUCAUAGGAUCACUGCCCAAAGGAACUUCUCUAUUCUUAUCUCAGGGUCGGCUUCUGGGGGAACCCAACCAAGAUGAGCAGUGACCAGGAUCACCUCUAGAGAGAGAGAGAGAGAGAGAGAGAAUCCCAAGCAGACUCUGGUCGUCUGUGCAGAGCCCGACGUGGGGCCCAAUCUCCUGAACCGUGAGAUCAUGACCUGAGCCGAGAUCAAGAGUCAGACGCUUAACCGACUGAGCCACCCGGACGCCCGUUCAUGGAUUAUCUUAAUCACGGUCACGCCGAGGGAGAGGGACUAUUGUUCGGCCUCCUCUUACAGCUCCACUGGCCACGGCGGUCGAUCGGAACUUCUAUGGGCUGCAUUCUGAACACGCACAACGUUGCCAGUAACGGAUUCCUACGUGUAGUCACUUCUGUUUGUUGGCAAAAUCCUGAAAACAUGGAGCUCAUGGGAGACGAGGAUCUUCAAGGGGCUGGGGCGGUGGGAAGGCCAGGACCCCACUGCCCUGGGCUCUGGCUACUAGAACGAUUAACGUGUGGGCUUCUUGUUCUCCAGCCCCACGGCAUCUUGGUUUCUCUUCUGUAACCACGUGUGUGUGUGUGUGUGUGUGUGUGUGCACACGCACUUGUGCUGGGGGCAUAAGCUCUGUCUCCCACGUGGAGCUGAGGGCCCAGCACCUCCUUCCCCAGGCUCCUCUCUGUCCAGGGAUCAGCCAAGGGGAGGGCCUAGGACCCAGGUAUGGACUCUUCCUCUGUAUUGGUCGGCUUUUGUUCUAGUAACAAAUAGCCCCCAGAUCUCAGUGGCUUUUUGUUUUUCUUUUUGGCUCGUGGGCAUGAGGGUUGACUUUGACCCCACUCACCUCUCAGCCAGGCAUGAGAAAUACUGUUCUCCUGGCAGACGGAAGCAAGAGGCUAACCUGAACCACUCAGGUGCAUUUAAAAUCUCUGCUCAGAUUGGGCCCAUGUGAUGUCCACUCACAUUCCACAAGCCAGUUCUGACACCGGGGAGGGUGGAGGUGGAAUUCUCUCCGUGCGGCUGAAGUGGAUAAUUGGGGAACAGUGAUACAAGUCUACCACAGUCUCCGGACUCUUGCUCAAGCCUCAUUCACCCCAGGGGCAGGGCCCCGGCCCGAGAGCAGUUUUCUGCCUCCCAGACCCGAAGCUGGCUGACCCCUGUCCCUCCCAGCCGGCUUCUUGGCUUCCUGGACGUGCUCGCCUCCCUUUCCACUCAAUUCCCUCUUGGAUUUACACUGGCCACAGUCUGUUCAUAUGGCUUGCGAUAUAAAACACCUCAGAUAAGAACACAAAAUAACAAAUUCGAGAUGAUGCUAGCAGAGUUUCUUUUUGGAACCCGGAGGGCCAACACUUUAAGUUGGUAAAGAUCGGUGGGAUAAAUGUGGUUGGCAAGGGGACUCAGGACACGGGCCUUGGAGGGAAGCCCAGGGGUCACGAGGAAGGAGGGAGCUGACAAGGGUCUGCACAGGGAAGGCAGGAAGACAGACCCCCUUCCCUCACAUCUCAACUUGGCCAGCUAAACACCCAAAGACCUGGCCCCAGCUCCUGGUCCCCAGUUGCCCAGAACAUAUCCUCUGAGGCCCCAGCCAGGACAGAGGCUUCCUCUUAUA